rnacentral:lncRNA from 10 species
GGCGCGUGGGUCGGUGUCGGGUGUGUGUGUACGUCUGUGUGUGUAAUGAAACUGGACGCCUUCCUUCCCGGCGAUCUUGACUUAACCUGUCAGCAGAGGGCUUGAGGUUAGACCACAGGUUGAACCUAGGUGGCUGCUGGAGAGGCCUUGAAAUCAUGGCAGCAGCAAGACCCAACUGGGGCAGCAUCAUGUCUGGGUUUGAAUCCCGGUUCAGCCACUUUCCAGCUGUGUGAUGUGGGGCAAGUCAGAUCCCACCAGGACUGCAACCCUUAGCCCUGUCUGGUCUCCCCUGCAACCCUUGAGGCCACCCUGGAGGCUCAGCCAUCCAUUCACCCCAGGUGGAGAAACAGAAGCCUGGAGAUGCUGAGUAACUUGCCCAUAGUCUCACAGCUGACAAGUGGCCAAGAAGGAUUCAAACACAUGUGUGCUGGCUCCAGUGGCUCCAGAAGUCUGGUGAGGGGCUACCUGAAGCACAUUGCCCCCUAGAGUUAAGGACAGCUGGAUCUGGGCUCCGGAAGCCUGCAGUUCAUUUCUGGCUGCACAACCAAUUAGCUGUGUGACCUGAAGCGCAUCUCUCACUCCCUCUCUGAAUCCCCAUUUUCUCCCUGGUUGAAUGAAAGGAUUCAACUGGAUGGUC